GAAAGCCACGUGCAAUGAAAAAUGCAAGCACGGUUUGGGGAGGGAUUUUUUUUAUUCUUUUAAAUUUAAAUUUAUUUAAUUGAAACAAGGAAAUUAUCUACUCCAU
rnacentral:ncRNA from 1 species